GAUGAACGCUGGCGGCGUGCCUAAUACAUGCAAGUCGAGCGAACAGACGAGGAGCUUGCUCCUCUGACGUUAGCGGCGGACGGGUUAGUAACACGUGGAUAACCUACCUAUAAGACUGGGAUAACUUCGGGAAACCGGAGCUAAUACCGGAUAAUAUAUUGAACCGCAUGGUUCAAUAGUGAAAGCCGGUUUUGCUGUCACUUAUAGAUGGAUCCGCGCCGCAUUAGCUAGUUGGUAAGGUAACGGCUUACCAAGGCGACGAUGCGUAGCCGACCUGAGAGGGUGAUCGGCCACACUGGAACUGAGACACGGUCCAGACUCCUACGGGAGGCAGCAGUAGGGAAUCUUCCGCAAUGGGCGAAAGCCUGACGGAGCAACGCCGCGUGAGUGAUGAAGGUCUUCGGAUCGUAAAACUCUGUUAUUAGGGAAGAACAAAUGUGUAAGUAACUAUGCACGUCUUGACGGUACCUAAUCAGAAAGCCACGGCUAACUACGUG
rnacentral:rRNA from 1 species